rnacentral:ncRNA from 1 species
AUAAAAUUCCAAAUAUGGAAUCUAUUAAUUAUAAUUAAUGAGUUUGAUGUUAGCUCGGUUAGAACGCUAUCUAGAGAUUUUAACACAUGCAAAUCGAACGAAUCAACACAAACAACACAGACAACACAUCCUUUAGGGGAUGUUUGUGCUGUUUGUUUUGUAUUGUGACGUGGUGAACAGGUGAGUAAAAGGGAAGAACGGACCUUAAAUUUCGGCUAAAUUCCGAAUAAACACACUCUUUUGGAGUGUUGUGAAAGAAGUGAAAACUUUGAUUUAAGACUGGCUUCUUACGAUUAAAGUAGUUGGAGAGGUAAAAGCUUAACAAGCUCAAAUCGUAAUCAUGACACUAAGUGGUGCUCUGAUCACAUUGGCUCUGAGACAACAGCCAAGAUGAACAUUUAGUUCAUCCAGCAGUGGAGAAUAUUAGUCAAUGAUCGAAAGAUUGAACUAGUCAUCUAGAAGAGUGAAACUUUUAGUUAUAGCUCCUUAAAUUAAGAAAACUUGAUUCUUAAUUUUAUGUAAUUCUUGCCAAUUUCCGUGCCAGCAGCAGCGGUUAUACGGAUAGAAUAAGCGUUUAACAUAAUAAAAAGGCCUAAAAAGUAUGUAGAUGGAAAAAAACAAAUCUUUUUCUAGAGUAAUAAAGAUGUUUGUAGUAUUGUCAAAUAAGGGAUCAAAUCCGACAAUCUUGAUGAGACUGCUUAAGUAAAAACUACUUACAAUUAAUUACUGACAUUGAGAUACGAAGGCUUAGAUCGCGAAAGAGAUUAGAUACCUCUGUAGUCUAAGCUGUAAACGAUUAUUGCUCUCCCAAUCUUUUUGAUUGGGUUUAGUGAAGACGGUAAGCAAUAUGCCUGGGGAGUACUUUCGCAAGAUUGAAACCCAAAACAUUAGACGGUCUUGGAAAUCCGCAGUGAAUCAUGUUAUUUAAUUAGAUAAUCCGCUAAAAAUCUUACCUUUCCUUAAAACAAUUAGUUCUAAUUGUUGGGUAUUGCAUGGCUGUCUUUAGUUAAUGUCGUAAGAUGAGGUUAAUUCCCAUUAAUUAACGAAAGCCUUCAAAGAAUUUGUUUUUCUUUGUGUUAGUGAUAAGCUAACUUUUUAGAGGGUUAAGACAAGUCAAUAUGAUCCUUAUGGAAAGGGCUAUAGACGUGAUAUAAAAUCUAAUCCAAUAAUUUUUAAUAUCGAAAGAUUGAAGUAUUAUUAUAAUGGUUAGGAGAUUUAUUCAGAUUUAAAUCUGUAAUUUGAUUUAAUGAAGGAGGAAUUGCGAGUAAUCACUAAUCAUUACGUAGUGGUGAAAUUUAUCUCUGAGAUGUACUAACUACUCGUCAAGCGCUGAAAGUAUUAAUCUCUUGAAGAAGACAUUCAUUUGUUUUCCAAAGGUGUUGUGCAAUUAGUGUUAAGUCGAAAUAAGGUAACCGUAGUGGAAGUUGCGGUUGAAUAAUUAAUUCAGGUUAAACCCCCCCCCC